UUCAGCAGGAAUUGCU
rnacentral:miRNA from 1 species